CCAUGUGCAUGUUCCCCAGGAGGUCAUUCUUCCCUGGAACUAUCCAAGUGACACAGAGGAGCAAAAGGCUCUGUCCCAUGAUGUACAGUCCCCUUCCACAGUGCUGGAGAUGAAGCGGUGCCCUGUAUCUGCACCUGCAUAUUCAUGUAUCUUCUCUGAGUCCUGUGGACAAUGACUGAGGAGACAAACCAUGCAGGAAAAAAUA